CGGGAGGCAGCAGUGGGGAAUAUUGCACAAUGGGCGCAAGCCUGAUGCAGCCAUGCCGCGUGUAUGAAGAAGGCCUUCGGGUUGUAAAGUACUUUCAGCGGGGAGGAAGGUGUUGAGGUUAAUAACCUCAGCAAUUGACGUUACCCGCAGAAGAAGCACCGGCUAACUCCGUG
rnacentral:rRNA from 1 species